rnacentral:rRNA from 1 species
AUUGAACGCUGGCGGCAGGCCUAACACAUGCAAGUCGAGCGGAUGAAGGGAGCUUGCUCCUGGAUUCAGCGGCGGACGGGUGAGUAAUGCCUAGGAAUCUGCCUGGUAGCGGGGGAUAACGUCCGGAAACGGGCGCUAAUACCGCAUACGUCCUGAGGGAGAAAGUGGGGGAUCUUCGGACCUCACGCUAUCAGAUGAGCCUAGGUCGGAUUAGCUAGUUGGUGGGGUAAAGGCCUACCAAGGCGACGAUCCGUAACUGGUCUGAGAGGAUGAUCAGUCACACUGGAACUGAGACACGGUCCAUACUCCUACGGGAGGCCGCAGUGGGGAAUAUUGGACAAUGGGCGAAAGCCUGAUCCAGCCAUGCCGCGUGUGUGAAGAAGGUCUUCGGAUUGUAAAGCACUUUAAGUUGUGAGGAAGGGCAGUAAGUUAAUACCUUGCUGUUUUGACGUUACCAACAGAAUAAGCACCGGCUAACUUCGUG